rnacentral:rRNA from 1 species
UCCAGACUCCUACGGGAGGCAGCAGUGGGGGAUAUUGCACAAUGGGGGAAACCCUGAUGCAGCGACGCCGCGUGAGUGAAGAAGUAUUUCGGUAUGUAAAGCUCUAUCAGCAGGGAAGAAAGAAGACGGUACCUGACUAAGAAGCCCCGGCUAACUACGUGCCAGCAGCCGCGGUAAUACGUAGGGGGCCAGCGUUAUCCGGAUUUACUGGGUGUAAAGGGAGCGUAGACGGCAAUACAAGUCGGAAGUGAAAUACCCGGGCUUAACCUGGGAACUGCUUUGGAAACUGUAUGGCUGGAGUGCUGGAGAGGUAAGCGGAAUUCCUAGUGUAGCGGUGAAAUGCGUAGAUAUUAGGAGGAACACCAGUGGCGAAGGCGGCUUACUGGACAGUAACUGACGUUGAGGCUCGAAAGCGUGGGGAGCAAACAGGAUUAGAUACCCCCGUA